UAAUGUUGUGGUGAGUAGCCUGUAGAGGC
rnacentral:sRNA from 1 species